UUGGAUGUUUUUUAAUAACAAUGUGCAGGAUUACGAAUGAUAUAGAGCCUCUACAUUUUUUAAUUUUUUAGGUUAAUACAUUUAGGUUAUAAAAUAAACAAAUAGUAAGAAAUAAAAUCUAAAUGGGUGCGACAUCCUUGUUAGUGGUAUUAAGAAUAAAACCUUUGCUACGAGUGAAUUGUUAUUUGUCAAGUUUAUUAAAUAAUAAUUAUCAAGAACAAUUGGUAAGAGGAAAUCAAAAUAUUUUACGUUAUUGUAUGAAAGUUCCUAACACCGAGGGUAACGUACAUGAUUUUCCUAAAAAGAAAAAACCGAAAACAAUGAUUAUACCUAAAAUAACACUUUUAUUGUCAAAAGAUUCUAUGACAGUUAUAACUUUGGAGGAAGCACAAAAACUUGCAAAACGUCGGAAUUUAAUAUUAAUCAAAGUAGAUGAUGAACAGAAAUGUUCAUCUAAAGACACUUACAAACUUGUAGAACCAACGGAACAUUUGAAAGAGUCUAAAAUUAAAGAUAAAGGUGAUACAAAAAAUAAUGAUAUUAAAUCGAUAAAGCUCAUACAAUUAUCUGCUAAAAUAUCCAUGUAUGACACUGAGAUCAAAUUGAAAAACGUCAAUAGAUUGUUAAAAAAAAGGCAUAAGGUCAAAUUAAUCAUUAAUUAUGAUUCCGAAAUACCGGAUAAAAUAUUGAAAUACGUUGAGUCGUCUAUAAAACAACAUGGAACGAUACAAAAAUCUAUGCAAUCAUUGCGUGCAGUGCUUUUAAUUACUCCCAUAUUAAAUAAAAAUGACAAUACGAAUGAUAAUUCGCAUGAUAUAAAUGUGAACACGGAAGAAAAAUGACUAGUAAAUUCUAAUUGUAUAUAAAACGAGUAAACUAUUUGUCAAUAUUUUCAUUGGAUAUGUUAAUUUAAUUAUCCUUAACAAUGUAAUACUGUUACGGUUUAAAUUAAUUAAGAAUAUACAAUAGAUAGAAGCUAGAAAACGAAUAUUUGAACAGU
rnacentral:misc_RNA from 1 species